rnacentral:rRNA from 1 species
UGAGGAACAUGACCUUCGGCGGGGGAUAGCCGGCCCAACGGCCGGGUAAUACCGCGUACGACCACAUGGGGACAUCCCUGAGUGGUGAAAGCAGCAAUGCGCCGAUGGAAUGCCUCGCGGCCUAUCAGCUAGUUGGUGAGGUAACGGCUCACCAAGGCAACGACGGGUAGCUGGUCUGAGAGGAUGGCCAGCCACAUUGGGACUGAGACACGGCCCAGACCUCUACCGGGAGG